rnacentral:rRNA from 1 species
UACGUAGGGACCAAGCGUUGUUCGGAUUUACUGGGCGUAAAGGGCGCGUAGGCGGCUUGACAAGUCACUUGUGAAAUCUCCGGGCUUAACUCGGAACGGCCAAGUGAAACUGUCAUGCUAGAGUGCAGAAGGGGCAAUCGGAAUUCUUGGUGUAGCGGUGAAAUGCGUAGAUAUCAAGAGGAACACCGGUGGCGAAGGCGGCGGUCUGGGCCGGAACUGACGCUGAGGAGCGAAAGCGUGGGGAGCGAACAGG